rnacentral:rRNA from 1 species
AUGCCACCGCGCGCGCGCAUGGAGUGGCCGGCAGCAUGGCCCGUGCUCGUCCUCGUCACUUUGCUCACGCCCUGGAGCAGCGCCGUCGCCGUUGCAUCACCGCCAGUAGUGGCGUCGGCGGCGCCGGUGCGGGUGGGCGUGGUGCUGGACCUGACGAGCCACGUGGGGAGGGAGAGGCGCGCCUGCAUUUCUUCGGCGUUGGACGACUUCGACGCCGCUCACCCCAGCUCCGACGCAGCGCGGGUCGAACUGCUCGUACGGGACUCGCGCGGGGAUCUAGCCAUGGCAACACAUGCUGCCGAUGACCUGAUCAAGAAUGGGCAAGUGCAAGCCAUCAUAUGGGGCCCUGAGGUACUGACCAAAGCCAAUCACGCCACACACCUGCGCCGCCACCGCAACCACAUUCCGGUUAUCUCCUUCUCUAGCAUUAUUUCCCCCGCAUCGUGUGCCUUCUGGCUGGAAGAUCCUGUAACAGUUCCUGGAGGCUAUGCUAAGUUUGGCUUUACACUUGGAAGUGACAGCAUAACCUUUCCUAAUCCAGAAACCGAUAGACAAUACAGAAGAAAACUAGAUGCACGAAAAUCAAGUAAGAGUUGCAGAAGCAAGGCAGGGCUGAAUAUAGCUGUGCCGCUGAAACUAGGCUUUCAAGUUUUUGUGAAUGUUACUGAUCCUUAUUCCGAGAAACAAAAUGUCACUGGCUACAGCAUUGAUAUCUUCGAGGCUGCUAUCAGGAAUUUACGUCCUCUCCCGUGCUAUGAAUAUUUUGUCUUCAAUGGUACUUAUGAUGAGCUAGUAGGCAACGUGUCUUUGGGGGUCUAUGAUGGUGCAGUAGGGGAUGUGACCAUAACGGCUGAACGAGUCACCACCACCGACUUUACAAUGCCAUACACACAGUCUGGUGUGUCUAUGCUUGUGCUUGCCGAGGAUGAACCGGAUACAAUCCGCUGGACAUUUGUAAAGCCACUAACUCGGAAGCUCUGGUUGGCAACCAUGGUCUUCUUCUUCUAUACUGGCUUUGUCGUGUGGAUGAUUGAACUACCUAGAAAUCAGGAGUACCAAGGAUCAAGUUUGAGACAGUGUAGCACCGCCCUCUACUUUGUUUUCUCCACUUUGACAUUUUCUCAUGGUCAUACUAUUAAAAGCCCCUUGUCAAAAAUUGUUGUGGUGAUAUGGUGCUUUGUAGUGCUGAUUCUUGUCCAGAGCUACACAGCAAGCCUGUCAUCCAUUCUGACUGCAAAAAGACUCCGUCCUUGGAUGACAGAUUUUGACCAGCUCCGGCACAGUGGUGACUUUGUAGGAUACCAAGAUGAUUCAUUUGUGCGGUCGUUCUUGAUGAAUCAUAACAUCAGUGAAAGCAGGUUAAAGAACUACACCACGAAAGAAGAAUAUGCUGAUGCUUUGUGGAAGGGGUCCAAUAAUGGAGGGGUGUCGGCUAUCAUUGAUGAGAUCCCCUAUUUGACUUCUUUCCUCUCAGACCGUCGGUAUGGAAAUGAUUUUAGGAUGCUCGGGUGCAUUUACAAGACUCCUGGAUUUGGUUUUGCAUUUAAUCUAGGUUCUCCGCUAGUUCAUAAUCUUUCGACUGCCAUCCUGAACCUAGCAGGAGGGGAUGAGGGAUCACGAAUCGAAGUGAAAUGGUUUGGCACAACUUCAUCGCCGAUAGGUGCUGGCACAAUCCCAGACACUGAUUCCGCGCCUCUCACUUUAGAAAGUUUCUCCGGUCUCUUCGUCAUCACGGGAUCCAUUUCAACUCUCAUGCUGCUGAUAAGCAUUAUGAGGUUGAUUUAUGCCAAAUGCAUUGAGUUGAGAAAGGCUGAUGUGGAAAGUGUCAGCUACAGUGGCACUGACGAUGAGUCCCGCCUGUUGCAGAAUGGCAUAGGUGGCAACCCCAGCCCUGAUCAACAACCAUUACAUGAAGCUGGCAAUAAUCAUUCCGGGGGUGUCCAUAUGAGUGGCGAAAAUGCUGGGGACACAGAGCCUGACCCAGUGCAGCAGAAUGGCUCUGUCCCUGCAGGACACAUUCAGAUUGAGAUGCGCAAUAUCUAA